rnacentral:rRNA from 1 species
GACGAACGCUGGCGGCGUGCCUAAUCCAUGCAAGUAGAACGAGCGGCGGACGGGUGAGUAAUGUCUGGGAAACUGCCUGAUGGAGGGGGAUAACUACCGGAAACGGUAGCUAAUACCGCAUACCAUCAGAUGUGCCCAGAUGGGAGUAGCUAGUAGGUGGGGUAAUGGCUCAUCUAGGCGACGAUCCCUAGCUGGUCUGAGAGGAUGACCAGCCAGACUGUAACAGAGACUCGGUCCAGACUCCGACGGGGGGCAGCAGUGGGGAAUAUUGCACAAUGGGGGCAAGCCGGAUGCAGCACAGCCGCGUGUGUGAAGAAGGCCUUCGGGUUGGAAAGCACUUUCAGCGAGGAGGCGUUACUCGCAGAAGAAGCACCGGCUAACUCCGUGCCAGCAGCCGCGGUAAUAC